UACGAAGUUACUGAAAGAUGUUGG
rnacentral:rasiRNA from 1 species